CCACAUCACGUUGAAACACUAGUUCCCGUACGAUCACCGAAGUUAAGCAACGUCGAGCCUGAUCAGUAUCUACAUGAGUGACCGUUCAGGAAUAUCAAGUGCUGUAAG